GCUUUCAUGUUGUAACGGUAGCACACUCGGCGCGUGUUCGAGAGGUCCAGGUUCAAAUCCCGGCGAGGGCA
rnacentral:tRNA from 1 species